rnacentral:rRNA from 1 species
UACGUAGGGUGCAAGCGUUAUCCGGAAUUAUUGGGCGUAAAGAGCUCGUAGGCGGUUUGUCGCGUCUGCUGUGAAAACUGGAGGCUCAACCUCCAGCCUGCAGUGGGUACGGGCAGACUAGAGUGCGGUAGGGGAGAUUGGAAUUGACCUGGUGGUAGCGGUGAAAUGCGGCAGAAUAUCAGGAGGAACACCGGUGGCGAAGGGCGGGAU